UCAAGAAACUUCCACAAUGGGCGAAAGCCUGAUGGAGCGACGUCGCGUGAUGGACGAAGUGCUUCGGCACGUAAACAUCUUUUAUGUGGGAUGAAAUUAUUGACAGUACCACAUGAAUAAGGGGCUCCUAACUCUGUGCCAGCAGGAGCGGUAAUACAGAGGCCCCAAGCGUUAUCCGGAAUCACUGGGCGUAAAGGGUGUCGAGGCGGUUGUAUUAGUCGUUCGUAAAAUCUACGAGCUUAACUUGUAGGCGGCGAACGAAACGGUACGACUUGAGGUUUGGAGAGGUGCGUGGAACUCACGGUGUAGGGGUGAAAUCCGUUGAUAUCGUGGGGAACACCAAAGGCGAAGGCAGCGCACUGGCCAAAAUCUGACGCUCACACACGAAAAGCUAGGGUAGCGAAGAGGAUUAGAUACCCAUGUAGUCCCUGAGCGGGCUGGCAAGGCGCAU
rnacentral:rRNA from 1 species